UACAGAGGGUGCAAGCGUUAAUCGGAAUUACUGGGCGUAAAGCGCACGCAGGCGGUCAUGUAAGUCGGGUGUGAAAUCCCCGGGCUCAACCUGGGAACUGCAUUCGAGACUGCAUGGCUAGAGUACGGUAGAGGAGGGCGGAAUUUCCGGUGUAGCGGUGAAAUGCGUAGAUAUCCGGAGGAGCAUCAGUGGCGAAGGCGGCCCUCUGGACCAGUACUGACGCUCAGGUGCGAAAGCGUGGGGAGCAAACAGG
rnacentral:rRNA from 1 species